UAUUCUGUCGUUUGGGUUAUACUGAGAAAUAAGAGUUGGCUAAAGUAGAAAUUACAUGAGAUUUGGAAGGUCAAAGGGAAGGAGCAACUAUUGCUGUGAAAGUCUUUGAAAUUAGAGACAGUGAAGGACAGAUGCAGAGGUACCCAGCAGGUUCCAGUUUUUCCUAUCUUCCACUCUAUAUCCAGCCCUUCUUUCCAUCUUCCAGCCCUGCUGACCAACAGUAGCCCCAGGUCUACCACCAGAUGCUUGGCUGCAGGCUCACAAAAGCUUCUCAUGGACUUCUCCACCAGCUUCUCAUGGCAGUCCCACAUCAGCAGCUAGAUGUGCCUGGCUUCUCAGAUUUUCCUGAAAGCUCUGAUUUAUCCACCCAUGCUAAUGUCUCAAAAGGGCUGGUUUAGUGAUUUCUUUAGUCUUCUAACUCCCCCUUCUAAACCUUCCCCAGCUACCUCUAUAAAUUGUGCAUGCAUCCCUUAUUCCAUAAUGCUCAUAGUUAUUAUGCUUCCCUGAUUGACAUAUUUAUACUUUCUUUUCCUGAGAAUUUGGUAGAUGCUGCUCUUCUAAAAUUGAGUGAUGUUAUUAAGAAGUCUUAGACAAACUUGCUCUCUUUUUUCUUGUAUAUAAUGUGCCUUUCUGCCAUAUGAUUCUUUUUUUAUUCUUGAAGUUAAGGAUCUAUGGAAGCAUAUGCUUUGGUCCUGAUCUUUGUGUAUUAAUUUUACCUGAGUUAUAGUGAGCCAUUCCAAUCAUUCAUUUCAAGGAAGUUUUAUUUUGCUUAACAUUUUUUCUGAUCCAUUUCUUCUCUUCUUCAGGGACAUCAAUUAUGCAUAUGUAAGAUGUCUUUGUCACCUUCUACAUUCAUCUUCUACCAAUCAACAUCCAUUUCACAUCAUUAUUCUUUUCAGUUUUGUGUGAUUGACUCUAGCCUUGUCUUCAGAGACAAUUCUCCUUGAAUCUCAUGUUCUUCAUGUUUAGACAUUAACAAGCAAUUUGCUCAGAUUUAUUUACAUUCCAGGAUAGUAAAGAUAGAGAAUGUCUCCCUCCCUGGAGACUUUCCCAGAGAAGAUUUGGUUGCAUUCCAGGUUAAUAAAGAUUAUAUAUAUAUAUACCCAAAGAAGAGGAUGGACAAUAAAACAAUAUAACAUUAUUUCCCUCACAUCUUAAUUAUGUGUAUUUUCAAUCAUGUAGAAAUAUUGAAAACACAGUACAACCUAUAUAACAUCCAUCUAGAUUUAACAAUUUAUAUGUAAUUUUUCCUGAAAUACCAGUGGUAAGUUAUAGAUAUAACAUUAUAACCAUAAAUAAUUGAGCAUUCAUCUCCUAAAAAUAAGGACAUUCUCCCACAUACCUGGAAUAUCAUUAUCAAUCUAAUUCUAUGAUAUAUCCAGUCCAUUUCCAAAUUUCUCCCAUUGUCCCCAAAACAUAUUUUACAGUUUUAAUGAGGUAGAAUUAGCAUACAGAAAGUGGAACUUGUUUAAAGUGUACAAUUUGAUGAGUUUUGACGUGUGCACCUUUCCAACCAUCAUGACAAUACAAAUAAUGAACAUAUCAAUCACCCCAAAAAAGUUUCCUUAUGCCUCUUUGUCAUUCAGCCCCCUUUCCCCACAUUCUUCCCACAUCCACAGGCAAUCAUGGAUCUGUUUUCUAUUGUUAUAGAUUAGUUUGCGUUUCCUACAAUUUUAUACACAUGGAAUAAUACUAUAGGUACUCUUGUUUGGCUCCUUCCAUCCAGCAUAAUAAGUUUGAGAUUCAUUCAUGUUGUUAUAUGCGUCUAUGUUCAUUCCUUUUUAUUGCUAAGUGUUAUUUCAUUAUAUGGACAUACCAGAAUUUGUUUAUCCAUUCAUGUUUUGAUGGAAAUUUGUAUUUCCAGCUUUUGGCUAUUACAAAUAAAACUGAUGUGAACAUUUGUUUA
rnacentral:lncRNA from 10 species